UCCCUGCUGGCUCAGAUGGUAGAGUCUGCCUGCAGUGCAGGAGACCUGGGUUCAAUUCCUGGGUUGGGAA
rfam:Ovis aries breed Texel chromosome 2, whole genome shotgun sequence.